CGCGUAGGCGGUUUACACAGUCAGAUGUGAAAUUCCAGGGCUUAACCUUGGGGCUGCAUUUGAUACGUGUAGACUAGAGUGUGAGAGAGGGUUGUGGAAUUCCCAGUGUAGAGGUGAAAUUCGUAGAUAUUGGGAAGAACACCGGUGGCGAAGGCAGCCCCCUGGACAGUGACUGACGCUCAUAUGCGAAAGCGUGGGGAUCAAACAGGAUUAGAUACCCCUGUA
rnacentral:rRNA from 1 species